ensembl:lncRNA
GCACAAACAAGUUCUGACAGACUUCAGUGGGUUACAGGACAUCAUCCAGCAGGCUGCGGACACUUCCUGAUGUCAGUCAUUGCAGCAGCAGGAAACAAAUGUUGGUAUCAAGCAGCAGCAGAUGGACUCAAACAAACGUGAAAGCAGAAGAAAAUAUUCAGUUUUCUGCAGGAGACCCAGCAGGGCCAGAGGCCCCUCGGAGCCCCGCCCAUCAACCGCAGCCAGUCUGAGAACUCCAGCAGCGGAGACAGCGAGUCCUCCACCUCCUGUUAGUUUGAGGAUCUGAUCCAGAACCUUUUGUACUGGAGGACAAUAAUGAAGCACAGAUGUUACCAACUUCCUUUGAGCAAGGCAGCAGACUUGUUCCUGUUUUAGCUGAACUGAUUUAGGAAUAUUUAGGAUUUCUUAGUUUUUUUCUGGUUUGUCUCCAUGAAAAUAGUUUUUCACAUUUUUACAUGAAGCAGUCGAUGUGCACGUCAGACGCUGGGAUAAAGUAAAGAUGCAAAGUUUAGACUCGGGCACUGCAGGUCCAAGGUUCACGUCCUGCGGGUGUGGAUUUAUUCUGCAACACAGGUGGGGGACUGCAGGCCUCGAGGGUCUCCUGCAGGUUUGAGAUCUCACCCUGGUCAACACACCUGGAUCACAUGAUUAGUUCAUUAGCAGGAGAACUUCAACACAUGUUGAGGAGGUCAUUUAGCCUUUAAAUCAGCUGUGCUGGAUCAAGGACACAUCUCUGCUCUAAAACGUAAUCUUUCCUUCUGAUUGUCCGAUCAGGAAAAAGACGCCAUUGACCCUCGAGUCAGCCGCUCGACUCGACCUUUGAGUCGGUGCGGACUGUUGUUCUGUUGUAAACCAGAGCAAGGAGCUCUUUUAUACCAGCUGAGAUUAUGGUUGAUAUAUAUUUUGGGGGAAAACAGAUAUUAGUUGUCAUGGAUGCGGGUGGUGGUGUUUCCUUUAAAACAUAUUCGCUGCUGCAGAUUCAUGAAAUAAUAAAUGUGACUCGUGAGGAAGAUUCUGCUGCUUGAUGAAAGCGUAACAAUAAUCACUAGAAAAAUAAAUGACGGUGUGUCAUCUUCACCAAUGUAAAGUGAAUUUAAUGUCCCGUCUUUAAUCUGUCUUACUGUCUGCGUGUUUCCAGCGUUACUGAGGGGGGGGCAUCGAGAUAAUUGGUUCUGCAUUUCAUUACUUCCUCAUUAAAGGCUCAUAAAAACA